rnacentral:rRNA from 1 species
AACGUAGGACGCAAGCGUUAUCCGGAGUUACUGGGCGUAAAGCGCGGGCAGGCGGUCUUGCCAGUCUGAUGUGAAAUCUCCUCGCUCAACGGGGAGCAGCCAUUGGAAACUACAAGACUGGAGUCUGGCAGAGGUAGGCGGAAUUCCGGGUGGAGUGGUGAAAUGCGUAGAGAUCCGGAGGAACACCAGAGGCGAAGGCGGCCUACUGGGCCAGUACUGACGCUGAGCCGCGAAAGCCAGGGGAGCAAACGGG